GCAUGCUAGAACUCAGGAUCACUCGUGUUACACUGCAAUCGCGUGUCGCCCUUAGAGUUUGAUCCUGGCUCAGGAUGAACGCUGGCGGCGUGCCUAACACAUGCAAGUCGAACGGGAGGCUUGAUUUCGGUCGAGCCGAGAGUGGCGAACGGGUGAGUAACACGUAGCUCACCUACCCUGGAGUGGGGGAUAACGGUUGGAAACGACCGCUAAUACCCCGUACGCUUCUGGUUUGUAGGAAACCAGAAGGAAAGCUGAGGCGCUCUGGGAUGGGGCUGCGGUCCAUCAGCUAGUUGGUAGGGUAACGGCCUACCAAGGCGAAGACGGAUAGGGGGCCUGAGAGGGUGACCCCCCACACUGGCACUGAGAUACGGGCCAGACUCCUACGGGAGGCAGCAGUGAGGAAUAUUGCGCAAUAGGCGAAAGCCUGACGCAGCAACGCCGCGUGGACGAUGAAGGCCUUCGGGUUGUAAAGUCCUUUUCUGGGGGAAGACGGAGACGGUACCCCAGGAAUAAGUGUCGGCUAACUACGUGCCAGCAGCCGCGGUAAAACGUAGGACGCGAGCGUUAUCCGGAUUUACUGGGCGUAAAGCGCGUGCAGGCGGCGUGUUAAGUCGUGCGUGAAAGCUCCCUGGCUCAACCGGGAGAGGUCGUACGAAACUAGCAGGCUUGAGGGCAGCAGAGGAGUGUGGAAUUCCGGGUGUAGUGGUGAAAUGCGUAGAUAUCCGGAGGAACACCAGUGGCGAAGGCGGCACUCUGGGCUGUACCUGACGCUAAGACGCGAAAGCAUGGGUAGCGAACGGGAUUAGAAACCCCGGUAGUCCAUGCCGUAAACGAUGUGCACUAGGCGUAGGGGGGUCACACCCGCUGUGCCGAAGCUAACGCGAUAAGUGCACCGCCUGGGGACUACGGCCGCAAGGCUAAAACUCAAAGGAAUUGACGGGGGCCCGCACAAGCAGCGGAGCGUGUGGUUUAAUUCGAGGCUACGCGAAGAACCUUACCUGGGCUUGACAUACGGGUGGUAGGGAACCGAAAGGGGACCGACCUUCGGGAGCCCAUACAGGUGCUGCAUGGCUGUCGUCAGCUCGUGCCGUGAGGUGUUCGGUUAAGUCCGGUAACGAGCGCAACCCUCGUCGCCAGUUACAAGUGUCUGGCGAGACUGCCCGUGACAAGCGGGAGGAAGGUGGGGAUGACGUCAAGUCAGCAUGGCCUUUAUGCCCAGGGCUACACACACGCUACAAUGGCCGGUACAAUGGGUCGCCAACCCGCGAGGGGGAGCCAAUCCAACAAAGCCGGUCUCAGUUCGGAUUGCAGGCUGCAACCCGCCUGCAUGAAGUCGGAGUUGCUAGUAACCGCGCGUCAGCCACAGUGCGGUGAAUACGUUCCCGGGCCUUGUACACACCGCCCGUCACGUCAUGGGAGCUGGUCACGCCUGAAACCGGUGGGCUAACCGCAAGGAUGCAGCCGUCUAAGGUGGGGCCGGUGACUGGGACGAAGUCGUAACAAGGUAACCAAGGGCGACACGCGAUUGCAGUCUUGAGUCCACCUGAAGG
rnacentral:rRNA from 1 species